GACACGGGGUGCCGCGUAUGCGGCUGAGAGAUACCCGUAUUACCUGAUCUGGGUCAUGCCAGCGUAGGGAUGUCGA
rnacentral:ncRNA from 1 species